UUAUUUCAUAACCUCAGAAAGCCUGAAAGUCAUUGGAGGUAGAGAACAGAGAUGUUCUGGCAUUCUUCAGCUGUAUGGCAAAACAAGGUAUGGAAAAUGGACCUCAAAAGGAGCAUCGCUCAGCCCAGGAGCCUGUGAGCCUCACCUGAUCCAGGUUAACAGAUGCCCUGGCCCAACAUCAGCAGGGGAAGAAAAUGGGCUUUUCACAGCACAGGUGAGGGUGCUGUCCCAGCAGGCAGUGCCAGCAAACCCAACACAAGGGCUCGCGGGGAUGAAGGUGUCCCCUGCCCCCUGCUCAGCCUAUGCUCACACCCGAGCAUCUGCACAGAUUGCGCCUCUGUCACCAGACCCUGGGGAGCGUGUGGCAUCUUGAAGGUGGCAAUCAGAUUUCUCAUACAAAUCACAGUAUUGUGGUCUGGCAUCACACAGCCAGGAACCUUACAGUGGGACCACGCCUGUAAGCCAUGCUGGAACUUCUUAGAGGCACUAAAAAUGGUGAAUUUGCUUUCACGACUGUUAUCCACCCAGCAUUUCGCUCGUGACAGAAGACGGCGGGGCUGAGCGUGCUGUGCAAGUGAGCUGGCAGCUCCUCCUGCAUCUGGCUGCCCGCCAGCAGGGCUCGUCUGCAGCAACCAGCGCCGGGCUGCGCUGCUGUCGCACUCGUCAUUCUGAAACACCCGGGUGGAGGGAAGCGUUUGGUUCUUCACGCCCCCGAUCAAAGCCUGACCUCAAAGUUGUUUAAAA